rnacentral:rRNA from 1 species
AUGGGGGCACCAAGAAGCCUGCGGCGUGGCUCAAGCGGUGUCACUUCCAGUGGCUAUAGCAACCAAAAACCAAAAGCCCUCUAUAUUCUGAUGGCAAAGCUGAUGUAUGUAUCCCACGGGGCAUCACAUAAAUUACCAUUCAAGGUAGGUUCCAGUCUGCAGAUCGCGAGGGACGGUAUGGCUGGAAUACGCUUGGUAACAGGGAGCAUUACCACUGCUGCGUACAAGACCUCUAAGGAAGACCAUCUCGUCAAUAAGCUACGAGAACAAGGGCCAUUAGUUUUUGCAAGUGGAGAUGCAACCAUUGGAAACCAGAACGAUGAUGCUACUUCGGCAAAUGAGACUGGGAACAGGCUCGCUGGAUGUUGGCGCCAAAGAAGCCAAAAGAGAUGGGUCGCCCAACAACUAGCCAAGAGAAGGCGCCGUACGAGGGGCUCAGCAAACGGACAAGCUUCUGCACGAUAUGUUGCCAGCAGGGGCACAAGAGGACAACCUGAUAUCCCCAAGCCAGUUUGUAAACCAGUGCGGCACAAAAACUGCGGCGUUGAAGGUCACAAACGAAACAACUGCCGCAAAAUGGGCAAUUGUGCUAAAUGCUGGACAAGUGCAUGCCUGUGUGAGGCCGUGCGCCCAGUGCUUGGCCGAUCCAUUUCUAAUUGCACUACAAGAGCAGGGAAAACAGAGGAGCAAUUACAUAAGCGUUCCUCCACCAUGCGUGCCCCAUCUGACCGAUCCAUCCCUUUUCGUUUAGGUAGAAAAGACUGA